rnacentral:tRNA from 1 species
GGGGCUGUAGCUCAGUGGUAGAGCACUUGCCUAGCAUGUGUGAGGUCCUGGGUUCAUACUCAGCAUCGCCA